CAGUAGCCGCGGUAAUACGUAGGUGGCAAGCGUUGUCCGGAUUUAUUGGGCGUAAAGCGAGCGCAGGCGGUUCCUUAAGUCUGAUGUGAAAGCCCCCGGCUCAACCGGGGAGGGUCAUUGGAAACUGGGGAACUUGAGUGCAGAAGAGGAGAGUGGAAUUCCAUGUGUAGCGGUGAAAUGCGUAGAGAUGUGGAGGAACACCAGUGGCGAAGGCGACUCUCUGGUCUGUAACUGACGCUGAGGAGCGAAAGCGUGGGGAGCGAACAGGAUUAGAGACCCCUGUAGUCCCUGUCUCUUAUAC
rnacentral:rRNA from 1 species